GACAGAGGGUGCAAACGUUGUUCGGAUUUACUGGGCGUAAAGCGCGUGUAGGCGGCUUGGCAAGUUGAAUGUGAAAGCCCACGGCUCAACCGUGGAAGCGCAUCCAAAACUGCUUCGCUGGAGUCUCGGAGAGGAAGGUGGAAUGCUUGGUGUAGAGGUGAAAUUCGUAGAUAUCAAGCAGAACACCUGCGGCGAAGGCGGCCUUCUGGACGAUGGCUGACGCUGAGACGCGAAAGCGUGGGGAGCAAACAGG
rnacentral:rRNA from 1 species